GGGGUUACGGCGGGGGGUUGCCAGCUUUGCAAGCUGGAAGUUGGGCGUUCGAGUCGCCUCCGCUCCA
rnacentral:tRNA from 1 species